GACGAACGCUGGCGGCGUGCUUAACACAUGCAAGUCGAACGGAAAGGCCCUGCUUUUGUGGGGUGCUCGAGUGGCGAACGGGUGAGUAACACGUGAGUAACCUGACCUUGACUUUGGGAUAACUUCAGGAAACUGGGCUAAUACCGGAUAGGAGCUCCUGCUGCAUGGUGGGGGUUGGAAAGUUUCGGCGGUUGGGGAUGGACUCGCGGCUUAUCAGCUUGUUGGUGGGGUAGUGGCUUACCAAGGCUUUGACGGGUAGCCGGCCUGAGAGGGUGACCGGCCACAUUGGGACUGAGAUACGGCCCAGACUCCUACGGGAGGCAGCAGUGGGGAAUAUUGCACAAUGGGCGGAAGCCUGAUGCAGCAACGCCGCGUGCGGGAUGACGGCCUUCGGGUUGUAAACCGCUUUCGCCUGUGACGAAGCGUAAGUGACGGUAAUGGGUAAAGAAGCACCGGCUAACUACGUG
rnacentral:rRNA from 1 species